CCAGACCUGCAGAACUUCCAGCAACUUCUGUUUUUGUUCCAGUUUCAGAGAUUGAGCAGUGGCAGGAGUCGCUGCAGGGCAACCUCAAAGUAAAGAGCCCUGUGGAUAGCACAUUUAGAGAGGUGGUCACACCAUAGGAUAGAAGUUGCAGCCAAACACCAAGAAUGACCAUAACAAAGUGAAAAGGCCAGAAAGAAGAGACAAGAGACAUCCAGGCUGAACAUUUUAACAUAAGCUUCUUCACAUUCUGCUGUUUUUGACUGAAACUUCUAAAUGUUCACAGGCCGCAUCUACAGAAGGAAAAGACUCAAAUGCACACGUAUUGUAUGUAAGUGCACGGACUCAGUGAAGACUCCAUUGUGCAAAUAAUUUUGUUCAAUAUUUCCACAACCAGGAAAAACACCCAUGUGGCCAAGAAACCAGUAGGAAAGCCCGAC